GAGGGUAGAGCUCAGUGGUAGAGUGCCUGCCUAGCAUGCAUGAGGUCCUGGGCCCAAUCCCCAGGACCUACA
rnacentral:tRNA from 1 species